rnacentral:rRNA from 1 species
GAUGAACGCUGGCGGCGUGCCUAAUACAUGCAAGUCGAGCGAACGGGCGAGAAGCUUGCUUCUCUGAUGUUAGCGGCGGACGGGUGAGUAACACGUGGAUAACCUACCUAUAAGACUGGGAUAACUUCGGGAAACCGGAGCUAAUACCGGAUAAUAUUUUGAACCGCAUGGUUCAAAAGUGAAAGACGGUCUUGCUGUCACUUAUAGAUGGAUCCGCGCUGCAUUAGCUAGUUGGUAAGGUAACGGCUUACCAAGGCAACGAUGCAUAGCCGACCUGAGAGGGUGAUCGGCCACACUGGAACUGAGACACGGUCCAGACUCCUACGGGAGGCAGCAGUAGGGAAUCUUCCGCAAUGGGCGAAAGCCUGACGGAGCAACGCCGCGUGAGUGAUGAAGGUCUUCGGAUCGUAAAACUCUGUUAUUAGGGAAGAACAUACGUGUAAGUAACUGUGCACAUCUUGACGGUACCUAAUCAGAAAGCCACGGCUAACUACGUG